GACGAACGCUGGCGGCGUGCUUAACACAUGCAAGUCGAACGGAAAGGCCCUGCUUUUGUGGGGUGCUCGAGUGGCGAACGGGUGAGUAACACGUGAGUAACCUGCCCUUGACUUUGGGAUAACUUCAGGAAACUGGGGCUAAUACCGGAUAGGAGCUCCUGCUGCAUGGUGGGGGUUGGAAAGUUUCGGCGGUUGGGGAUGGACUCGCGGCUUAUCAGCUUGUUGGUGGGGUAGUGGCUUACCAAGGCUUUGACGGGUAGCCGGCCUGAGAGGGUGACCGGCCACAUGGGGACUGAGAUACGGCCCAGACUGCUACGGGAGGCAGCAGUGGGGAAUAUUGCACAAUGGGCGGAAGCCUGAUGCAGCAACGCCGCGUGCGGGAUGACGGCCUUCGGGUUGUAAACCGCUGUCGCCUGUGACGAAGCGUGAGUGACGGUAAUGGGUAAAGAAGCACCGGCUAACUACGUG
rnacentral:rRNA from 1 species